CUUGCUCGCAACCUCAUGGUUCCUAGUCGGAUUCGUUAACCACUGCGCUACGACAGGAACUCCUUAUUAUACUUUUUUGCUAAAAGUUCCCGUCAUCCCAUCACACUCCUCUGAGAGCUUCUUUUUCAUAAUUCACAUCUUAUUUUUCUCUCUCCAGUGUUGAGUGUUUUCUCAAUAAUUUGCUCAUUCACCACGCCUCUCCUAGCCUGUUAAAAACCUCCACGAUGUUAGAGGUAAUUGCAGCUGAGGAUUUUCCCUUUUUAGCUAAGAAUAGCUUUUGCUAGAGAUUAAAAAUAAGUUCCUUGCAGAGGCCUUCGUUCUAUUCCACAAUAGCCCUAAAUCUAAGCUCCAUCUCAUGAGUCAUAAUAAAAGAAACCCUUAUAUCCCUUAUUCCUCUCAACACAGAAACACACACACACACAUGCACAUCCUGGAAUUUAUGGGAAAAAUACAGAAAGUUUAUAAAGCACGAGAUUCAGAUUCUGAGGUGCAACAGAGAAGGGCGUUCAUAAAACAUCACAGUGAUUCCCAAACAAAGAUGUGCUACUGGGGUUCUCUUGGCUUCAUUUCCUCAUCUUCAGUGAAGAUAAGGGAUUAUAAAACAGACGAUUGCAUCGAUGUCUCACUGGGCACAUUCCAUCGCCAAAGGAUGCCUAUUUGGCCCCGGUUUUCUUUCUUCCUUCCUCCUCCCGAUGGCCCCAAACCCCCUCCAAAAAAGUGUACCAGUUGGUUAGUCUGUGUGUUAUUAGUUCAUGGAAAUGCUAGUAUUAUUUAACAAUAAAAAUAAGAAUCACACUCAAGCGAGUCCUGAAUUAUUCAUGCACUCUGAUUUUACAUAAUUUGGCCAUCCCUCUUUUCAUUGCUAUUUUAGUUUCCAUCACUAAACACCCCUCUGCUAGGUCCACCUUGGACUCCUGUGAACAAGGAGAUAACACUUGCAAAACGUUCCCUCAGAGACCAUGUUCUGAGCUGCUGUCCAAACAUUUACAGCCCAGAGCCUAAACGGCGCAAAACAGCAAGGAAUACCCUCAGAAGGAAAAGUCAAGUAUUAACAUGACAUUUUUUUUUUAAAUCAAAUUUCUUUAGAAUUUAAAAAUCUGUAGGGACACAAAAGCGAGCAAAAUGGAACCCUCCCGGGAAGAGACUUUUAAGACCGUCAUUGUCACUGUGUAUUUUCAUCAUAACGCCACACAGACCCAAGACAUCAUUUUAAAAUACAAUUACGGCCCUUCCUGUGGCUUUGCCAUUCCAAGUUACUGAUGGGCGAUGUGCGUGUCCCUGCUCGGUAGGUAGCAGGAGGCGGGGAGGGGGGCUGUCUGACCAGCGGAGCGCUGGGAAGGUAGCAUUUGAGACUGGAGGCAGCUGGCACCCUCAGCAAACUGUCAAGAGCUGGCAAGAGGAGCCGUUCGGAGGGCCAGAAUUUCAGGCAACACGGCAUCGGGAUGCAGUCUGCGCAGGCCUGCACCUCACGCAGCAGGACCUCUGCACGGCACUGGAAUUUUGCCCCCAGUGGGAGGGAAGAGCUGGUUUCAGUGGCAACCUCCGGACAGAGCCCAAGAGAGCAAGAAGAGACAGCGGAGACUUAUACCAGGCGGGACAAACCAGACAGCUCAACUUGGUUAUAAGAAUGGCCUGCGCCCGCAAGAGAAGGGUCUCCUUUUUCACCAGCACGGUUUACCGUUUUUGCUCUUUUCCAGAAUAUCGCUCUUAGCCAGUCGCUAAGGCGAGGGACCACACGUGCCAACUGAACCUCAGGGGCGACAUUCUUGAAAUGUUCGGGGUGAAAUGUGGGAAAGGAAAAAACAAACAAACAAAAAAAGACGCACACCCAGAUGGAAAAUACUGUAAUGAACUGACAUGUUCUAUUUAAAACCUGUUUGUCAGCCGUAGUUAAGUUGACGCUGUCAGCAUGGCAACAAAUCAUAACAUUUUGCAUGUUUCGCUGCAUGCUUGAAGCAGGGAGAGCACACCACAGGCCUAGAUGCCAGCGGGGGGCAGUGGGGGAGUUUAGGAACCGUGUGAUCAAUGGAACAGAACAGAGCGAGUCUGAUCUGCUGCUCCCUAAAGGUCAACCACGAGGGACGUGGGCAGGGCCUGCUGUGCUGCUCCUUCCUGCCUGUAAAAGAAAACUGCUCUUCAGAGACUCUUUGUUUGUUUGUUUGGCUGUGCCCGAGGCAUGUGGAAGUUCUGGGCCAGGGAUGGAACCCAUGCCACAGCAACGACAAAUCCUGAUCCUUAACCUGCUGAGCCACCAGGGAACUCCAAGAGAGCCUUUUUGUUUUUAUUUUUUAGUUUUUCACUUUCUUUCAAAAUUAAAAAAAAUUUGUAUUCAAGUAUAGCUGAUUUACAAGGUCGAGUUACAUGAGAAAAAGAAUGCACAUAUAUAUGACUGGGUCACCUUGCUGUACAGCAGAAAUUGACCCAACAUUGUAAAUCAACUAUACUUUCAUAAAAAAAUUUUAAAAUAAUGAAGUACCAACAAGGACCUACUGCAUAGCACAGAACUAUACUCAAUAUUUAAAAUAACCUAUAAGAGAAAAGAAUCUGAAAAAGUGUGUGUGUGUGUGUAACUGAAUAAUUUCACCAUACACCUGAAACUAACUCAACAUUGUUUUCUCUUGUUUGUUUUUAAAUGGGUUGUUACUACUAUUAACUGUAACGUUGCCUUUGGUGGUUUGGGUUUACAUUCUCUCUUUGCUUUUGUUUUUUGUUUGUGUGUGUGUGUGUUUGUUUUGCUUUUUUAGGGCGGCACCCAGGGCAUAUGGACAUUCCCAGGCCAGGGGUCGAAUCUGAGCUGCAUCUGCGACCUACACCACAGCUCAUGGCAACACCAGAUCCUUAACGCACUGAACAAGGCCAGGGAUCGAACGUGCAACCUCAUGGCUCCUAGUCAGGUUCGUUAACCUCUGCGCUACGAAGGGAACUCCCUUUUUUGGUUUUUUAAGACUUUUUUUAUUAAAGUCUUGCUGAUUUAUGAUGUUGUGCAGAGAGGUCUGACAGUGGCACGUGUGUAGCCCAAGAGUGCUAAGUAGGUUCCCUCCACUUUGCUUAAUAUCUGCUAUUCACAUAGGGGUUCACACAGUGCAAGGAUGCCGUCUACCACCAGACUCCCCCCUUUCUGGCUUUAUCACAGGGAGGAAAGGGCAGCACUAAGUAACAUGGGCCGGAGACACAGAGGUGUAGCCCUGCUCCGGGACACUCAAGGCUCCCUUCCACCCCAAUCUGCUCUUUCCUGGACCCAAGGACAGAGAGCCUCCCACAGGCCAGCAGCAGACAGGCCACGUGACCAAGCUCUUGCCAUUGAAGGAUGAACAAAAGGGCAACGUGCACCUUACUUACUCAGGAGGAAAUAUCUGGACCUGGCUCCCUCCCCUCCUCCUUGGCCGGGAUGGCCUGGUCAUGCAGCCUCGGACAGCACGUAUCAGAGAUGGCAGAACUGCUGGCACCCUGGGUUUCCUAAGCACCUGGGAGGGGCCGCCUAUCAACCUAGAACAGUCAAUUUAGUCUUUCACAUGCGAGGGAAACAAACCCUCAUCCUCUUCCCUCCAUACGAUUUUGGAGAAUGUUUCUUACGCUCAUUUACCCUCUGCAUCAACACUGGGUACAAGGAUGCCUCGGCAAAGUCACUCAGGCCCUCAGAAGCCUGCUCCCGGUCUGUAGAAUGGACAUGGUCAUGUUUGCCUCCUUUUAUCGAACAGAAUCUGGACAGAAGUCACUCUGGACAAUGCUGUUACGCAAACACGACAUAUAAACAAAUCUAGGCAUUCGGAGGAAAGAGCAACUCCUUCCAGCUGGCAUGAUCAGAGAAGAACUUGGUAAGGUUUGGAUAGAAUCUUAGCAUGAAAAGAGGAUGUACAAGGACGGAAGAAACACAGUACAAGUGUAAAAUAACUACCGCGUCUUUCAGAAUAUUGUAGACAGUUUGGUUAUAAAAGGGCAACAAGAAAGAAAUCUAAUAGAAGGGUAACAGGAAACAAGGCUGGAAGAUCAGUGUGACAGCUGGAUUGCAGGGGGUAAGAAAGACUUGAACACUAGAAUAAUGAAUUCUGGUUGAUCUUGCUAAGUGGGAAUAAUUGUAUCCUCUUUACCCACGCUUGGUUAAGGACGGUCAUCGACUUGGGACACAAUUCUAUAGAGAUGCCUUGCUCAGAUCUGGGAAGGCCAAAUUGAUCUGAAUGGAAAGGCCAAGAGACUCAGAGUGAUGCCAACCCAGAAUCUCAUUGUUAUGGAGCCACUGAGCAAACCUGGAAGCGCUGACCACUAACCUGCCAGUGAUAGGGGAUAACUGAAGGAUUAUGUUUCAACCCACAUGGACUGGCCUGUCUGUUCCUUGCAGCCAAAAGCAUUUUUCAAGAGUAAGCAGUGUAAGCGCUUCACUUAGACCACAGAAAACAACCUAUGGGGGAAAAAGAUUUGCUCUCUGGAGAGAUGACUUGCAGAAUCAUCACUUUCAUUUCUCAGACAUACGCCCUUUGUGAUCAAUACACGGGAGCCACAGACCCUCACAAAAACAUUCUGAGACGUAGUUACAAGAGCAAUCUAGAGAUUGGCUUUAUGAGACAGCAACUUUUUUUGGUAUUGACAAUGUAGACUUCUCUCAUAAGCCCAUCAUUUUUAUCAUGCUACUGGCACAUAAAAGUUACAUAUAUCAAAAGAAAGUCAGCCAGCAGAAAUCAGGGCUAGGAAAACCCUGAUAAAUCAACUACAUCUUCUCCACAGCUGCACAGAGGAGAACAUUCAGGCCCUGGAACUCUAUUACAUGCCUCUCUAAAAACCAUGACUAGAACCCAGCUCUUAUUUUUUUUCACACACACACACACAAAAUCACAAUUAGUUCCACUGCUAUCAACUAGAUCUUCUUUUUGUUCCCAGUAUAAGAAAUGCAUGAAAAAAACUGUUUUAAAGAUCAAAGAGGGCAGGUCAAGGUUCCCCGGCAUUACCUAUAAUUGCUAUACAUUUACCAGUAGCACUUGCAUCGACGUUUCAAAUUUGAAAUGGAAUAUUUGAAUAAUAUUCGGACACGAAGGACCUAUCCAAGCACAUACACAAGGACAAGAGGCACGCCGUCACUAUUAUUCACUACUUUGGUGACACCCACGCAUGAUUUGCUGAAUACCUCAUUUCAUAUCAUGUCCUGUAUCUGGCCAUUUCCCCAGAUCUAGUCCUAAAUUAAGCAUGGAUUGGAAGUUGCUCUGAGCGGAAGUACAGUACUAGAAAGUGAUACCAAUGUAAUUUAUUCUUCUUCUCUCUGCAGCUAUUACUCUCCAUAUAUUCCCAAGGCGUUUGCCAGGUUAAAGCAGGGGAAGGCCAGGAGGGAAAAGCUGCUUUGGAUAUUGACAGCCUUCUAUCACUGCUUCAGAAACAAAUACUCAGAAGUGGGGAGAUCAACCUCAGAUCUGCCCAGGCAUCUUUUUAUACAUAAGCGAAGUACAAAUGGGGUGGGGCCAUAGGAAAAAGGCGUGGAGCACUCAGGUUGAAUACCUGCCAUGUAAAGGCAUCUUUGGGUAAAGUAAUUCCGUCCUUAAGAAGAGAACGGUGCAGCAGCAUUUGAUGCUUCAGUCAAAUCGGAAAUAAUUUUGUAAGUACGCUGACAAAAUUUUUCCUUCGAUGACCUUACAACAAACCCUGCCUUGGUUUGUUAAAUAUUAAUGGUGCACAAACCCUCCCCCGGAAAAACAAAACAACAACAAGAGCAGCAAAAUAAACACCUGCCCGGCUGUGGUUGAUGCUGUAUCAUGGGAGCCAUAGGAGGGACUAUUCAAAGGCAGCUCCUCGUGCUGUUCCCAUUUCAGUUUUCCUAAGGCACCAUGAUCCCUUCAUGGAAAAGAAUUGCUUCUAGUCUGCUGCUGAAAGGAAUAGGGCCAACAAUCUUAGAUCUUUCUGGCCAGAAUCAGAAUCACGUCAGUAGUUAGAAUUCAGAGGGUCUGUCCAACACACUUCCUAGACAAA
rnacentral:lncRNA from 1 species